AGCGAACGCUGGCGGCGUGCUUAACACAUGCAAGUCGAGCGAAGGUGUUUCAAGGGUAACCUUGAGAUACACUUAGCGGCGGACGGGUGAGUAAUACGUGGAUAACUUACCUCUAGGCCUGGGAUAACCUCGGGAAACUGGGGCUAAUACCUGAUAAGACCACAUUGUCUACGGACAAAGGGGUAAAGGUGGCUGUGCAAACAGCUAUCGCCAAAAGAUAGGUUUACGUCCCAUCAGGCAGUUGGUGAGGUAAUGGCUCACCAAACCAAAGACGGGUAGCCGGCCUUGGCGGGUGAACGGCCACACGGGGGACUGAGACACGGGCCCCGACUCCUA
rnacentral:rRNA from 1 species